UGCACACUGCCCUGCUUGUGAUACACAGAACAGAGAGUGCAGUAACAUCACACCUUCUGGGUUCCUAUCUCCUGUGGCUUUAUCUGAUACACAAAGGAGCAUAUAAGGGAGCAUAAAAACGGGGGGGGGGGGGAGAAUGGCUGUUUACAAGGGUGGAUAGUAAUAGGACAAAGGGGGAAUGGUUUUAAACUGAGACAGGGCAGGUUUAGGUUAGAUAUUAGGAGGAAGUUUUUCACCCAGAGGGUGGUGACGCACUGAACAGGUUGCCCAAGGAGGCUGUGGAUGCCCCAUCCCUGGAGGCAUUGAAGGCCAGGCUGGAUGUGGCGCUGGGCAGCCUGGUCUGCUGGUUGGCGACCCUGCAUAUAGCAGGGGGUUGGAACAAGAUGAUCUCUGAGGUCCUUUUCAACCCAGGCCAUUCUAUGAUUAGAAGGAUGAGGAGGCAACGCAUAGCAACACAUUGGUGUCAAGAAAACAGUCUGUAUGUUGGCAUAGACAGGGAACUCUUCUUGUGGACUUUGAAUCUCAGUUUCAGUCAGACCAACUAUACCUUUCGGAAUGAGCUGCUGACAGCUAGUUUAAACUGUAGCUCACUGUUUACCUCAAGCCGAUCACUUUAGUAAACACCGUGUUCCUUUUUCCCAAGGUAUUGAUUGGCAUCUCCUAUGUUUUCCCAAAUACACUUUGUAGGGAGUAGAGAGGAAUGAAUUAUCUUUUAUCAGGUAACUGUAUUUGCAAUUGUUGUAGCUGAUAGUGGCAACAUGUAGGAAAGUUGAACUUGGAGGAGGACUAGUAAACAGAUUAUCUAAUAAAAACAGCAUGAAGCCAAGGAAAUUGCAUAAAGCCUAUGAGUGCAUAUAGUGUAAAACUGGCAGGAAUAUGUUGCAUCUCAAGAGAUCUCACAGAGUCCAGGGAAUAAAGAAAAUCUACAAGGAAGACAGUUUUUUUCCUUUUCUUUAUCUUUUCUUUCUUUUCCUGCAGGGUUCUAGUGAUCAUCCUUAGAAAGGUGAGGCUGUGCCUAUAUUCCCCUUUGGAAAUACAAGGCAGUUUGUCCAGUGGCUAGCACAGCAGAAGCUGGGGAGGUUUUCAUCCUUUAUUGAUGGGUGUUCAGAGUUGCGACUGGGCAGUUAAGACUCGAAGGAGCUGCAUAUAGACACCCCAAAGCAACUACCCUUCUUCCCCCAAGCCAUCUCCAGACUGCAGACUCUUCUGAUACAUCCCUUAUUACAGUAAUCCAUAUUGCUGUCAUCUCUGCUGGAUGGUCUUGUGAAGAAUUCUCAGCUGACUCCAGGUUUUUGAAAAUAGAGAAUUGCAUUAGCACUUGUAUCCUGAGACAGUCCCUGUGCCAUGGUCUACACAGCCUAAUUCUAGGGGAAAAAAAUAAGUAUUUCAAAUAAUAAUAUACAAAACAGAGCAUGUUAAAAGGACUUACAGCCCUCUAUGUUUCCUGUAUAGCUCCUGCUAAUUUGUGCUCUUUGACACUAGGGAGAAUCCAUACUUGCCUCUAAUGUUUAAGACUUCAUGAUGUAAUUGCUGAUGGGUGAAAUAUGUACUAUUUCCUACAUAGAGAGUCUGACUCUCUCUGCACCAACACCAGCAAUCCACUGCCAGGAUUCCUAUGCUAGCUGCUCUUUUUACAGUUUAAAACAGAAGGUGAGCAGUUCAAAUCAGAGGAGCUGGAGUCCCAGUCCUGAAGAACUCAGACUAAAAAGUGACUUCCAAUAGCAAAUGAGAGGUAGAGUACGAAAAGAUAAAUUAUUCAGUAAUAAAUGUUACACACUUACAAUGCACAAGUUGUAAUGCAUCUCAGUUGCUCUUGUAAUUCGGUACAGUCAUUUGCCUAAUAUGGUAAAUAUGCCAUAUGGUAUACUAAUAAAGAAAGCGUUAGAACAAAGACAUGAUGAUUUCUAAGUUUUUAUUUCUAAUUUUGUAUGCAACUGUAAGCUGCAUUCCAGCUGUCCUAAAAUACAAGCAGUAGAAGAACAGAG
ensembl:lncRNA